AUUGAACGCUGGCGGUAUGCUUAACACAUGCAAGUCGAACGGUAACAGGCCUUCGGGCGCUGACGAGUGGCGGACGGUGAGUAACGCGUAGGAAUCUGCCUCAUAGUGGGGGACAACGUGGGGAAACUCACGCUAAUACCGCAUACGCCCUACGGGGAAAGCGGGGAGUCUUCGGACCUCGCGCUAUGAGAUGAGCCUGCGUUAGAUUAGCUAGUUGGUAGGGUAAAGGCCUACCAAGGCGACGAUCUAUAGCUGGUCUGAGAGGACGAUCAGCCACACUGGGACUGAGACACGGCCCAGACUCCUACGGGAGGCAGCAGUGGGGAAUAUUGGACAAUGGGCGCAAGCCUGAUCCAGCAAUACCGCGUGUGUGAAGAAGGCC
rnacentral:rRNA from 1 species